AUUGAACGCUGGCGGCAGGCCUAACACAUGCAAGUCGAGCGGAUGAAGGGAGCUUGCUCCUGGAUUCAGCGGCGGACGGGUGAGUAAUGCCUAGGAAUCUGCCUGGUAGUGGGGGAUAACGUCCGGAAACGGGCGCUAAUACCGCAUACGUCCUGAGGGAGAAAGUGGGGGAUCUUCGGGCCUCACGCUAUCAGAUGAGCCUAGGUCGGAUUAGCUAGUUGGUGGGGUAAAGGCCUACCAAGGCGACGAUCCGUAACUGGUCUGAGAGGAUGAUCAGUCACACUGGAACUGAGACACGGUCCAGACUCCUACGGGAGGCAGCAGUGGGGAAUAUUGGACGAUGGGCGAAAGCCUGAUCCAGCCAUGCCGCGUGUGUGAAGAAGGUCUUCGGAUUGUAAAGCACUUUAAGUUGGGAGGAAGGGCAGUAAGUUAAUACCUUGCUGUUUUGACGUUACCAACAGAAUAAGCACCGGCUAACUUCGUG
rnacentral:rRNA from 1 species